UUCCUACGGGACGCAGCAGUGGGGAACAUUGCACAAUGGGGGAAACCCUGAUGCAGCGACGCCGCGUGAGUGAAGAAGUAUCUCGGUACGUAAAGCUCUAUCAGCAGGGAAGAAAAAAAGUCUUUGGCUCUGGACGGUACCUGACUAAGAAGCCCCGGCUAACUACGUGCCAGCAGCCGCGGUAAUACGUAGGGGGCAAGCGUUAUCCGGAUUUACUGGGUGUAAAGGGAGCGUAGACGGCAGCGCAAGUCUGGUGUGAAAUGCCGGGGCUCAACCCCGGAACUCCUUUGGAAACUGUGCAGACA
rnacentral:rRNA from 1 species